GUAAAACGAUGAGUGCUAAGUNUUAGGGGGUUUCCGCCCCUUAGUGNUGCAGCUAACGCAUUAAGCACUCCGCCUNGGGGAGUACGGNUCGCAAGACUGAAACUCAAAGGAAUUGACGGGGGCCCGCACAAGCGGUGGAGCAUGUGGUUUAAUUNGAAGCAACGCGAAGAACCUUACCAGGUCUUGACAUCCUCUGACAACCCUAGAGAUAGGGCUUUCCCUUCGGGGACAGAGUGACAGGUGGUGCAUGGUUGUCGUCAGCUCGUGUCGUGAGAUGUUGGGUUAAGUCCCGCAACGAGCGCAACCCUUGAUCUUAGUUGCCAGCAUUCAGUUGGGCACUCUAAGGUGACUGCCGGUGACAAACCGGAGGAAGGUGGGGAUGACGUCAAAUCAUCAUGCCCCUUAUGACCUGGGCUACACACGUGCUACAAUGGACAGAACAAAGGGCUGCAAGACCGCAAGGUUUAGCCAAUCCCAUAAAUCUGUUCUCAGUUCGGAUCGCAGUCUGCAACUCGACUGCGUGAAGCUGGAAUCGCUAGUAAUCGCGGAUCAGCAUGCCGCGGUGAAUACGUUCCCGGGCCUUGUACACACCGCCC
rnacentral:rRNA from 1 species